CUGUAAGCCUGUGAAGGUGUACUGUGAGGUAUGCUGGAGGUAUCAGAAGUGCGAAUGCUGACAUAAGUAACGAUAAAGCGGGUGAAAAGCCCGCUCGCCGGAAGACCAAGGGUUCCUGUCCAACGUUAAUCGGGGCAGGGUGAGUCGACCCCUAAGGCGAGGCCGAAAGGCGUAGUCGAUGGGAAACAGGUUAAUAUUCCUGUACUUGGUGUUACUGCGAAGGGGGGACGGAGAAGGCUAUGUUGGCCGGGCGACGGUUGUCCCGGUUUAAGCGUGUAGGCUGGUUUUCCAGGCAAAUCCGGAAAAUCAAGGCUGAGGCGUGAUGACGAGGCACUACGGUGCUGAAGCAACAAAUGCCCUGCUUCCAGGAAAAGCCUCUAAGCAUCAGGUAACAUCAAAUCGUACCCCAAACCGACACAGGUGGUCAGGUAGAGAAUACCAAGGCGCUUGAGAGAACUCGGGUGAAGGAACUAGGCAAAAUGGUGCCGUAACUUCGGGAGAAGGCACGCUGAUAUGUAGGUGAAGCGACUUGCUCGUGGAGCUGAAAUCAGUCGAAGAUACCAGCUGGCUGCAACUGUUUAUUAAAAACACAGCACUGUGCAAACACGAAAGUGGACGUAUACGGUGUGACGCCUGCCCGGUGCCGGAAGGUUAAUUGAUGGGGUCAGCGCAAGCGAAGCUCUUGAUCGAAGCCCCGGUAAACGGCGGCCGUAACUAUAACGGUCCUAAGGUAGCGAAAUUCCUUGUCGGGUAAGUUCCGACCUGCACGAAUGGCGUAAUGAUGGCCAGGCUGUCUCCACCCGAGACUCAGUGAAAUUGAACUCGCUGUGAAGAUGCAGUGUACCCGCGGCAAGACGGAAAGACCCCGUGAACCUUUACUAUAGCUUGACACUGAACAUUGAGCCUUGAUGUGUAGGAUAGGUGGGAGGCUUUGAAGUGUGGACGCCAGUCUGCAUGGAGCCGGCCUUGAAAUACCACCCUUUAAUGUUUGAUGUUCUAACGUUGGCCCGUAAUCCGGGUUGCGGACAGUGUCUGGUGGGUAGUUUGACUGGGGCGGUCUCCUCCUAAAGAGUAACGGAGGAGCACGAAGGUUGGCUAAUCCUGGUCGGACAUCAGGAGGUUAGUGCAAUGGCAUAAGCCAGCUUGACUGCGAGCGUGACGGCGCGAGCAGGUGCGAAAGCAGGUCAUAGUGAUCCGGUGGUUCUGAAUGGAAGGGCCAUCGCUCAACGGAUAAAAGGUACUCCGGGGAUAACAGGCUGAUACCGCCCAAGAGUUCAUAUCGACGGCGGUGUUUGGCACCUCGAUGUCGGCUCAUCACAUCCUGGGGCUGAAGUAGGUCCCAAGGGUAUGGCUGUUCGCCAUUUAAAGUGGUACGCGAGCUGGGUUUAGAACGUCGUGAGACAGUUCGGUCCCUAUCUGCCGUGGGCGCUGGAGAACUGAGGGGGGCUGCUCCUAGUACGAGAGGACCGGAGUGGACGCAUCACUGGUGUUCGGGUUGUCAUGCCAAUGGCACUGCCCGGUAGCUAAAUGCGGAAGAGAUAAGUGCUGAAAGCAUCUAAGCACGAAACUUGCC
rnacentral:rRNA from 1 species